GAUGAACGCUGGCGGCGUGCUUAAUACAUGCAAGUCGAACGAGGGACUUCUGUCUUCGGAUGGAGGUUUCCUAGUGGCGAACGGGUGAGUAACGCGUUGGUGACCUGCCCCGAAGUGGGGGAUAACAGUUCGAAAGGACUGCUAAUACCUCAUGUGAUCAGCUGGAUUAGAUGCCUACUGAUUAAAGGCGAAAGCCGCUUUGGGAGGGGCCUGCGUCCCAUCAGCUAGUUGGUAGGGUAAUGGCCUACCAAGGCGAUGACGGGUAGGGGACCUGAGAGGGUGGCCCCCCAACUGGCACUGAAACACGGGCCAGACACCUACGGGUGGCAGCAGUAGGGAAUAUUGGACAAUGGGCAAAGCCUGAUCCAGCAACGCCGCGUGCGCGAUGAACGGCCUCGGUUGUAAAGCGCUUUAGUAGAGAUGAGAAAGGACAGUAUCCUCAGAAUAAGACCUCGGCGAACUACGUGCCAAGCAGCCGCGGUAAAGUCAACGUCG
rnacentral:rRNA from 1 species